AAGAGUUUAGAGACUUCGGUCUACUACUCCACCCUUUGUUUACAAUACCAUUGUUGCUUUGGCAGGCCCGUCGCAAGACAACCGGCUUUGGCUGGUCAGCGCCUGCCAGAGAACCUAAAACUCAUGUUUAUAUUAUUGUCUGAGUACUAUGUAAUAGUUAAAACUUUCAACAACGGAUCUCUUGGUUCUGGCAUCGAUGAAGAACGCAGCGAAAUGCGAUAAGUAAUGUGAAUUGCAGAAUUCAGUGAAUCAUCGAAUCUUUGAACGCACAUUGCGCCCUCUGGUAUUCCGGGGGGCAUGCCUGUUCGAGCGUCAUUACAACCCUCAAGCUCUGCUUGGUAUUAGGCUUCACCCUUAGGGGCGGGCUUUAAAAUCAGUGGCGGUGCUAUUCGGCUUCAAGCGUAGUAAUUUUUCUCGCUUUGGAGGACCGGGUGUGUGUUUGCCAACAACCCCAAUUUUUAAAG
rnacentral:misc_RNA from 1 species